AUCCUGGCUCAGAACGAACGCUGGCGGCAGGCUUAACACAUGCAAGUCGAGCGCCCCGCAAGGGGAGCGGCAGACGGGUGAGUAACGCGUGGGAACGUACCCUUUACUACGGAAUAACGCAGGGAAACUUGUGCUAAUACCGUAUGUGCCCUUCGGGGGAAAGAUUUAUCGGUAAGGGAUCGGCCCGCGUUGGAUUAGCUAGUUGGUGGGGUAAAGGCCUACCAAGGCGACGAUCCAUAGCUGGUCUGAGAGGAUGAUCAGCCACAUUGGGACUGAGACACGGCCCAAACUCCUACGGGAGGCAGCAGUGGGGAAUAUUGGACAAUGGGCGCAAGCCUGAUCCAGCCAUGCCGCGUGAGUGAUGAAGGCCCUAGGGUUGUAAAGCUCUUUCACCGGAGAAGAUAAUGACGGUAUCCGGAGAAGAAGCCCCG
rnacentral:rRNA from 1 species